rnacentral:rRNA from 1 species
CCUAGCCCUUCAGAGGGGGACAACAGUUGGAAACGACUGCUAAUACCGCAUACGAUCUGACCUCGGCAUCGAGGAUAGAUGAAAGGUGGCCUCUAUUUAUAAGCUAUCACUGAAGGAGGGGAUUGCGUCUGAUUAGCUAGUUGGAGGGGUAACGGCCCACCAAGGCGAUGAUCAGUAGCCGGUCUGAGAGGAUGAACGGCCACAUUGGGACUGAGACACGGCCCGG